ACAUCAUUUCGGUAGGUGAGGUUACCACAGGGAUUGGAUGAUUCGGCUUAUGUCGUUAAAUCCGAAGAUUGCUACCGCGGAAUUGUGGAGACACGAUGAGCUGGUUAGCAGGCUGCGUCGCGAAGGCGCAACUUAAUGCAAUUUAUAUGCCCUGUGAUGCUAAAGCUUGAACGGUGCUAUUAUUU
rnacentral:sRNA from 21 species